CAGUAGCCGCGGUAAUACAGAGGCCUCAAGCGUUGUUCGGAUUCAUUGGGCGUAAAGGGAGCGUAGGCGGUCGGGUAAGUCGGAUGUGAAAUCCUGGGGCUCAACCUCAGAACUGCAUUCGAUACUGCUUGGCUAGAGGACUGGAGAGGUGAGUGGAAUUCACGGUGUAGCAGUGAAAUGCGUAGAUAUCGUGAGGAAGACCAGCGGCGAAGGCGGCUCACUGGACAGUUUCUGACGCUGAUGCUCGAAGGCCAGGGGAGCAAACGGGAUUAGAUACCCCGGUAGUCCCUGUCUCUUAUAA
rnacentral:rRNA from 1 species